GACGAACGCUGGCGGCGUGCUUAACACAUGCAAGUCGAACGGAAAGGCCUGCUUUCCCUUGUGGAUUGCGGGUACUCGAGUGGCGAACGGGUGAGUAACACGUGAGUGAUCUGCCCCCAACUUGGGUAUAAGCCUGGGAAACUGGGUCUAAUUCCCGAUAGGACUGCAGGGUGGGGCCUGUGGUGGAAAACGAUUUUCUAGUGGUUGGGGAUGAGCUCGCGGCCUAUCAGCUUGUUGGUGGGGUAAUGGCCUACCAAGGGGGCGACGGGUAGCCGGCCUGAGAGAGUGGACGGCCAGAUUGGGACUGAGAUACGGCCCAGACUCCUACGGGAGGCAGCAGUGGGGAAUAUGGAACAAUGGGCGGAAGCCUGAUGCAGCGACGCCGAGUGGGGGAUGACGGCCUUCGGGUUGUAAACUCCUUUCGACCGCGAGGAAGCCACCUGGUUGGAAGGGUGGUGACGGUAGUGGUAGAAGAAGCACCGGCUAACUACGUG
rnacentral:rRNA from 1 species